CCUACGGGCGGCAGCAGUGAGGAAUAUUGGUCAAUGGACGAGAGUCUGAACCAGCCAAGUAGCGUGAAGGAUGACUGCCCUAUGGGUUGUAAACUUCUUUUAUAUGGGAAUAAAAUGUUCCACGUGUGGGAUUUUGUAUAUACCAUAUGAAUAAGGAUCGGCUAACUCCGUGCCAGCAGCCGCGGUAAUACGGAGGAUCCGAGCGUUAUCCGGAUUUAUUGGGUUUAAAGGGAGCGUAGGUGGAUUGUUAAGUCAGUUGUGAAAGUUUGCGGCUCAACCGUAAAAUUGCAGUUGAAACUGGCAGUCUUGAGUACAGUAGAGGUGGGCGGAAUUCGUGGUGUAGCGGUGAAAUGCUUAGAUAUCACGAAGAACUCCGAUUGCGAAGGCAGUUCACUGGACUGCAACUGACACUGAGGCUCGAAAGUGUGGGUAUCAAACAGGAUUAGAUACCCGGGUAGUC
rnacentral:rRNA from 1 species